CGUCCAGUUUUUCACUCCGGCUUUGUGCCCGGACAAGGUCCGGUUCCUUUUCCAGCAUCGAUCGGCUUUCAUGGCGGUGGUGGCUGGCUUGAGAGCGGUUUUCCUUUGCUUCGAUUUAAUCAUUUUGGUUUUUAGGAAUAAUACCCUCGACUUUAUUUAAAUUCAAGUUCAAAUAUAAUUUUUUCAGCCAUAAGUCCGGUUCCUUUUCCAGCAUCGAUCAU